UGAGUUUUGAUCUCCACAUGCAGAAGUUCUGCCACCACCAGCACUGAUCUCUGCAGCCAGCUGCUCUAAAAAGUGGUCACCCUCUUCAAUCUUGAUGUCUUCCCCAUUUACAAUUUUAGGUAUUAUAUGGAGGAAGAGUCCCAAAAUGUGUGAUCCUUAAUAUAAAACAAAGGAGCAGUCUCAACAGCCCUUACUCUCUAUUUCCAGACAUGGAAGGAACUCUGUACAACAGACGAAGUUCACCUCAAUCAUGGAUGAUUUAUGUAGAGACUGUAGGAAUUUUAAGUCCUGUUAUGUUGAAGUUUGAGUACUUUCCCACCUCUAAUUAUUCUCACUUAUUGUUAAACAGCUGUACCAAUUGGGGGAUAGAAAAAUUAAGCACUCAUUAGGGCUUAAUCUUCUGCAACAGUGGAAACUCCACAUUGAACUGAGCUCUUCCAAAGCCCUGCUCCGCACUGCGUACAUGCCACACAGAAGUAUGCAGAUGAGAUGGAGCUGAGCAAGCUGCCUAAGGAAAUUCUUUGCUGAAGCAUAUAGUAUGUGUUCACAGGCUUACCGCGCCUGCUAAAGACAUUAGCAACAUCCUCUGUAGGGAUAGUAUGUCUUUAAAUCAAUUACACAGGUUCCUCUGUGCUUUGAGAACAUACUGCAACCAUUUCCUCCAGUGACCCUUAAGCCCAGGUCCACCUCGCAGCUUCUCGGGGCUCAGCACAUAGCUCGUCGCCUGCCCGCGCGCGGCCAGCUUACCCCGCAAAGCACAGGCUGUGCCCAUUGCACAGAGUUGGCACCCGCGCGGUUGAACUCUGGCCAGUUUUGUGGAUUCCUAGCUGUGACCCGCUAACCUCUAACGGCAACGUGCUCCAGCCCCAUUGUGCCUCUGCUUCUCAGCGGUGUUUGCAGUCAGUGCUGUGACCCACAGGAGAGCUGUUCCUCGACGUCCAGCUUACCUGAAUACCAGAGGGCUUUUCGGCUCAUCCGCUCCCAGCUUAGCUCCUGCACCCUGCCAAAAUGCAGCCAGUGGUCAGCUUCACUAACGAGCCUCAGGGCAUUCGUUACCUGAGGAAGUGGAUCUUCAGGAAGUGUAAGUGAUACACCAUUUACACAGCACAUCCACUAAGCUUUUUACAAGGAAGAGCCCCGGGCAGGAGGCGUUAGACCACAUCGGACUCUUGCCGCGAGUGCUCCCGGGGACCAUCUCCACCACCAGCACGAGGAGGGCUCCACGCUGCCUACACGCCGCUGGGAUGCUGGGACAGGAUUAGCAGCGAGCAAGGAUGGAAGACAGAAGAAUAAGAGCUGCCAUUCACACCGGCUAUUUCGGACUCAGUCGCUCGCUGCCAAGCAGGUCCCCGCUCGCAGCUGCAGGACCGCGGUGCACAUGCCCACCCAGCCGAGCCGCGUACAGGAAUGCUGCUUUGGGGGGAAAGAGAGGGGGAAAAAAAAAAAACAAAACCCAAACGAGAGAAAGGAGCCUGAACGUUCAGCCUUUGUACAGCA